rnacentral:rRNA from 1 species
UACGGAGGGUGCGAGCGUUGUCCGGAAUCACUGGGCGUAAAGGGCGCGUAGGCGGCCCGAUAAGUAGGGGGUGAAAUCCUGCGGCUUAACCGCAGGGCUGCCUUCUAAACUGUCGGGCUAGAGCACGGUAGAGGCAGAUGGAAUUCCCGGUGUAGCGGUGGAAUGCGUAGAGAUCGGGAAGAACAUCAGUGGCGAAGGCGGUCUGCUGGGCCGUUGCUGACGCUGAUGCGCGAAAGCGUGGGGAGCAAACAGG